rnacentral:rRNA from 1 species
GACGAACCGUGCGAACGUUGUUCGGAAUCACUGGGCUUAAAGGGCGCGUAGGCGGUUUCCCAAGUCCGGGGUGAAAUCUUUCGGCUUAACCGGAAAAGUGCCUUGGAUACUGGGCGACUCGAGGGGGGUAGGGGCAAGCGGAACUUCCGGUGGAGCGGUGAAAUGCGUUGAUAUCGGAAGGAACGCCGGCGGCGAAAGCGGCUUGCUGGACCCCAUCUGACGCUGAUGCGCGAAAGCCAGGGGAGCGAACGGG